AUAAAAAAAGCUAAAAAUGCUUCUUCGGUGAAAGCAAACGACUUAUUCAGAAACGCUUAUUCGGAGAAGCACUUUUCCUCACGGGCAUUGUCUCAAGCUUUCUCGGUUUCUCUUUUGUGCGACACUCUCUCAAACUCAUUCUCUCUCCCUCUCAAUUCUUACACAACAACAACUACGACGCAGAUUCUCUUGGUCUCGAAUUGGUUGGAUUUGAAUUUCAGAACUGAUUCGAAUUGUUAUGGACUCAGGAUUUGAUUCGCGUUGGAGGUUCAAAAUCUGUUUGUGCUCGAAAUUUCAACUCAGAGAAGUUUGAGUUAAAGUUACAGCAAGUAUACGAUAUCAUAAAGCUGAGAAUGGGGGAAUGCUUACCGGUUGAAGCGACGAAAAAUGCAGCUUUCGAUCUUGCUCACAAGGACACUUAAUGCAAGGCCAACUUGGAAUGCUGAAGCCAACAAUGUCAGAAUCAUUAACACCACCAGCGUUAUUGUUAGGACCAACAUCAUCAUUGACAGAAAACAUUGGAGAGGUGACAAGGGAGGUUGAAGAAGGUACUAAUGACAAAGGAACAAAAUCAGCGGACACACAAAUGGUACGAGGCAGUGCAGCAAAGCAGAAGGCAACACAGAUAGAAAGACUGAAAAGUGGUUUUAAAAUCUGCAAACCAAGAGGGACCUUUAUUUGAAGAAGCAAUAAAUAUUGAGAUAAGAGUAAAUAAUCAAUUGUAAGAUGACCAAUUAGGUUUCUUAUAGUUCUCAAGAUGAAUGAGGUUAAUUAUUGUUUUCUUAUAGAAACCUGCAGUCCAACAGGUUGACUGGUAGAUUACCUCCUAAGCUCGGAAAUUUGAGAUACCUUCAAGAACUUUGGCUUGAUAGGAACAAGCUUCAAGGACCCAUUUUGGAUCAGUUUUCUUCAGAUUUCUGCUGCAGUAAGCACUGAUCUUAGCUAUGAUAAGUACAAAAAGGCCUUACAGGCAGAAGGUUACCUAGCUGAGAGCCAGCGACAUGGUAAGUCAGGCUGCAAUUUGACGAGGCUGCUGAUUCGGUUGAGAAACAGCAUUCGGCUAUAGAUUCGCAUGCGGUGGUUUUGGCCGAAGAUGCGGCAAAAUUCAUGGGAAAGGCAGACUGUCAAAAUAAUAGUGCAUCACAGCAAAUUUACUUGACAUUUCCAGCUGAUAGCACUUUCUCUGAAGAUAAUGUAUCAAACUACUUUAGGUACAUUGUUAUAUAACUCUUAUCGUGUCUAUUAUCGGUUUUGUGUUAGAAAAUUCUAACUGUUUUAACGUUUUUGUUUAACUAUGUAUAACAUUAUGGAUACUAUUCUAUUUGCUUUGUCCAAUCUAUUCACAGAACCAAGCCAUGGCAAAGUGAUUUGUUAGAGGAUAGUCUUAGAGCUGCUGAACGUUUCUAUGCUUCUAGUUAACACUUUAGAUUCUGCUAAACGUGUGCCUAAUUAUACUUGAUCUCUUCCCAUUUUGAUUUUAUAGCAAGUUUUGUUGAAUUGGCCUCAUCAAAAAGCUAAUAAAAUGUAAAAUAAAGUGAUAAAAUCAUUUCCAACCAUAAAAAGGUGAGAAAAUCAAUAGUUACUUUAAUGAAUUUGGAAUUUGUUACUUAUGAUUUAUGUGUACUAUCAACUGCUAAUCUCCUAAUCACUUUAUCGUUCCCAAACUAGACUCUUGUACAUGAGUGAUUCAUGAAUCAUGUGUUGUAAGAAACUGAAGACCUCACACAUACAAUGAAUAGAUAGAAUAAAUAUCAAGUAUACUAGAAUAUUCUAGUCUAUAUGUUGUUAGAAGAUUUCUUAUCCAAAUGAUAACAUGGUCCCUACAAAUAUACUAUUCGCAAUUAAUUUAAACCCUUACACGUAUGACUAUACAAAUAUUUAUAGGUUUAGGUUUUGAAAUAUUUUCAUAAUAUUGUUAAUGUCCAUCAGUGCAUAUCUUCCACUCUCUGAACUUACAACACAAACACACUCAUACUUAUUAAGCUGCUGUAAAGACUUUGUUAUGUGUCUGUUUUUUAUGGUAGAAAGUUAGUAUACUCGCUUCUAAGCAGGGCAGUGCUAGCUAUCUUAAGAGCAAUACUAGCUUCUCUAAUUCUUAGAGCCUUUUACAUGUUUAAGAAAACAUAGAAAAUCCUCAAGAUAUCACAUUACUAGAGAAAUAAAGAUAUGUUACAGCUUUGAAGCAUACCUAUAGGCUAUAGUUAUCCAACAAAUCUGUUUAUAGAACCAGGGCUAAGUAUAAGUUUGUUCAUGUUGUGAAAUCUUCUCCAAAUGAUCCCUAGGAAGAUUGCAUUGAUAAGUAUGAUAUGGAAAUGCUCACAUAGCUUGGUAUAUUUGUGUUAUAGUCUUGUAGACAUCUUCAUACUCUUUGUCCAGUAGCUCAACUCGUGUUUCGUGACUGUGGCUUUUCAAUUUGUGUUUAGUGUCAAAUUUUAGGUUUUGAGAGCAAGAUAUGAUUUGGAGAAUAUGAGUGUAAUUUCACAUGUUAAGUCUCACUAUACCAAUAUCAUAUACUUUGAUAGAUAAAAUUAUUGAGUUCUAUUUCUUUUGUAAUUUGUAGAGAAAGGAAAAGGGUGCAGAUCCAUCCUUGACCGAGUUCUAUUUUCGCACACAUCGGAAAAAGGAUCAAAGUUGGGUUGGAGUUCAUGCUGAAUCGGCAUAUGAUAAAUUUGAACAGAAAAAGUUGGAGAUUUCUUCUCAGAAUCCAACUAUUCCUGGAGAGGACGAAGCUGAUAGUCAACCAACUAAUGAAAUGCCUCCUGAUUUGGAUAUAUGGGUAGAGUCGGUUGGAAAGAAGAAAGGGAAUAGGGUAUUUGGUCUUGGAACUGCAUCUAAGACUUUGGUUUCUGUAUCAAAGAAACCCUCAAGUCUUUCAAGUGACUCUCGAGAGGUUGAUGUUUUGAGAAGUCAAGUCCAUGCUUUAAAUGCAUCGUUGCAAAGACAAGAACAAGAGAAGAUGGUGAUGAGGCAACAAUUGCAUCGACAAGAAGAAAAGAUGGCCGAAGCGAAUAAUAAAAUUUCAUUUUUAAUGAAUCAUUUAGGAUUUGUUGGGUCUUCUUCUCAUCCACCACAACCCACUAAUGAAAGUGAUCACACAAAUGAAGAUGUCGUCCAUGAAACAGAUGAAGAAGAC